rnacentral:lncRNA from 1 species
CAAUAGUUCAGAUUAGGAAAGCUUUAGUUACCAGAACCUAUUUUUAGGGCAGAAGUCGAAUUUACGGUGCUCUAAUCUUUGUAUGGGGAAUUGGCACAAGGUUUCUGCUGUUGGGUCUUAUUUAUAGCUGUUUCUUCUUUCCAGGGAAAUAAGAUUAGCCUCAUUAUUUCCAUUGCUGUUACUCUGUCUAUCAUUAUUAUUAUUCAGUCCGUCCAUCCUUCCACCCAUUUAGGUCUUGUCUGGAAUUACCUAGGAUUAUCCCGCUAAUGCGCAUUGCCUUCACACCGAAUAUCAUUUUUGUUGCUAAGAAACUGCUUUUGCAUAACAGACAGCGCGGGCCUAAUUUUCACUCCAGCAGCUGUUAAAGUCAACGGGAGCAGCAGGUGCUCGGCGCUCCUGAGCCGGAGCCAAAGUGUCCGUGGCAGAAUUCCCACACAAAGUCUGACCGUGCACGCGAGCGUGUCGUCCACGUGUGCAACGUGCCCAGGGACAGAGCAGCUUCACGGGGCACGAGGCCAUUGCUACCUGGAAGGAAGGAUUUUGAUCAGACUGCAGAAGAUGAACAGGCAGGAGAGCUGA